rnacentral:lncRNA from 1 species
GCGAGUGACCGAGUGGGCAAGGGGCCGUCACUGUGUGUGCGUGAUUUUGACAGUGUGUGGUGGUAGCUUCUGACUCCGCGUGGGUCGUUGAAUGUAUGACUGGGACCGUUUAGCGGUGGAUACACAACUGUGUGCGGCUGUGGAAGAUUGCCUCAUCCGUUACGUUCCCAUUUCCGUGGAACAACAGUUUUACCAGAAGGUUUCGAAGGAACCUUAAAGUUUGGAAGCGCGGCUUUGGUGUCAUCAAAUGUGAGAAGCCCUGGACUUUACACAUCCCGAGCCAGUGUGAUCCAGUAUGAUUGGGAGUCCGAGUGCCAGAUGCCGGUCAGGACCUGUUAUGCUGGGUCUCAGAAUGCGGAAACUCUCCCUGUCCGAGGUGGAACAGUUUGUCCUUGAGUGAGGACUGGAGUCCUGAGUGACUCUUUUGAUUUGAUCCUGUUUCCCU